AGCAGCUGACAAGGACAAAAUCAAGUUAUAUGGACCCGAAGAAGGCCUUUCCUGGGUUGCCAGACCUGUAACUGGGCAGGGUUCUAUUGUCAGUCUUGUGUCUCGCCAAGGAAGCAUGGCAACACAGAAUGUGCCUCUAAUGGAUCCUCUUGUCACUCUCUUCGGUAGUGUCCAUGAAAAUUUCCCCGAGGCAGGGAGUACGCGGGGAAGCAUGCUCUUUUCUAACUUUGGCAGCAUGUUCAGCACAGCAGAUCAUCCACGGGGUAAAACCGAACAAUGGGAUGAAGAGAGCUUGCAUAGGGAAGGUGAGGACUAUGCAUCUGGGGGAGACUCGGAUGACAAUCUGCACAGUCCUUUGAUUUCACGCCAGACAACAAGUAUGGAAAAGGAUAUGGUGCCACCUCCUCCUUCUCAUGGUAGUGUUCUAGGCAUGAGGCGCAACAGCAGUCUCAUGCAAGGAACUGGGGAGACAGUUGGUAGCACAGGCAUUGGUGGUGGAUGGCAGUUGGCAUGGAAAUGGUCUGAGAGACAGGGCGAAGAUGGAAAGAAGGAAGGAGGAUUCCAGAGGGUAUAUUUGCACCAGGAGGGAGUCCCCGGCUCACGUCGUGGGUCUCUUGUGUCACUUCCUGGUAGUGAUGUUCCUGCAGAAGGUGAAUUCAUCCAGGCAGCUGCUCUGGUUAGUCAGCCUGCUCUGUACUCAAAAUCACUUAUAGAUCAGCAUCCUAUUGGACCUGCAAUGGUUCAUCCAUCAGAAACAGCUUCGAAAGGACCAAUGUGGUCUG
rnacentral:lncRNA from 1 species